GAAUCUGAAGCAAUCAUUUGCAUUUAGUUUCGACCUAACAUUAGGCUGUAAUAUGCCCUGAUUCU
rnacentral:tRNA from 1 species